CAGGGAGACAAAAACUGAUUAUGAUGUCUGAAUAAAUUUUUAGACCAUAAUCCUGUCACCUUAGGUCGAUCGGUACCUCAGAUUAAUAACUUAAAGAUGAUCAAAAAUCAUUUUAAAUUUAUUUUUAAUUUCAGUUCCUAAACUUGUCUAGGUCACACCCAACAAACUUUCUCCUGGGCUAUUAGCUCAGGCGGUUAGAGCGCACCCCUGAUAAGGGUGAGGUCCCUGGUUCAAGUCCAGGAUGGCCCAUUCGUUGUUGGGGGUAUAGCUCAGUUGGUAGAGCGCCUGCUUUGCAAGCAGGAUGUCAGCGGUUCGAGUCCGCUUACCUCCACUGAUCAACUACCUGAUAACUCAUUUUGGAGAUUGUCAAUUGGUUAAUGUGAUUUAGAUGUUGUUCAUCUGAAUGACCCUAGCUUCCUAUCACUCCUUGAAUUUCGUCUUGGCUGAUAAGACGCUGGGCUCACUGUUAUUCGAAAGAGUAUCAGUUUGAUUCAGUAGAACCUUGACAACUGCAUAGGAAAGUCUGGAAAAAAAUAAAGCAUCUCAUAGAUGCAUAAAAUAAUUUUUCAGAUAUUCUGAUUAAUUUUUUAUGUUUAAUUCUUGAGUUAGAGCAUAGUUUCUAUCACUUAAAUCAAAUAUGAGAUAAGUGUUUAUUUAGCUAAUUAAUUUUACUAAUAAGUAGAAAUUUAAU
rnacentral:tRNA from 1 species